ensembl:lncRNA
AUGCACACACGCACACACACACACACACAAAACACAACACCACACACACAACACCACAGAUCACAACACCACACACACAAAACACAACACCACACACACAAAACACAACACCACGCACACAACACCACAGAACACAACACCACACACACAAAACACAACACCCCACACACAACACCACAGAUCACACCCCCACACACACACAACACAACCCCACACACACAACACCACAGAUCACAACACCACACACACAAAACACAACACCACACACACAGAACACAACAACACACAGAACACACCACAUACACACAAAACACACCACACACACACACAGAACACAACACCACACACACAACACACAGAACACACCACCACACACACACGCACACACAGAACACAACACCACACACACAACACAGAACACACACACAACACAGAACACAACAACACACAUACACACACACAACACAAAACACAACACACAGAACACCACACACACAGAACACAACAACACACAGAACACACCACACACACAACACAACAUACACACACAAAACACAACACCACACAGAACACAACACCACACACAGAACACAACACCACACACACACAACACCACACCACACACAGAACACAACAACACACACGCAACAAAACACACACAACACCACACACACAACACACAGAACACACACAGACCACAACACACAGAACACAACACCACACACACAACACAGAACACAACACCACACAGAACACACACAACACCACCCACAGAACACAACACCACACAGAACACACCACCACAGAACACAACACCACACCACGCACACAACACACACAACACACAAAAGAGAACACACAGAACACAACACCACACCACGCACACAACACAAAACACAACACCACACACAGAACACAAAAACACACACAACACAAAACACAACACCACACACGCAACAAAACACACAACACCACACACACAACACAACACACAGAACACACACAACACAGAACACAACACCACACACACAACAAAACACACAGAACACAACACCAAGUCAAGUCAUCUUUAUUUAUAUAGCGCUUUAA